rnacentral:tRNA from 1 species
GCACCCGUAGUCUAGUGGUUAGGAUAUGGCGUUGCCAACGCUGUGACCCGAGUUCAAAUCUCGGCGGGUGCA